UAGGGAAUUUUCCGCAAUGGGCGAAAGCCUGACGGAGCAACGCCGCGUGAGCGAGGACGGCCUUCGGGUUGUAAAGCUCUGUUCUUGAGGAAGAAUCCCGCGGAUGUGAACAGCAUCUGCGGUUGACGGUACUCAAGGAGAAAGCCCCGGCUAACUACGUGACAGCAGCCGCGGUAAUACGUAGGGAGCAAGCGUUGUUCGGAUUUACUGGGCGUAAAGGGCGCGUAGGCGGCGCGGUAAGUCACUUGUGAAAUCUCUGAGCUUAACUCAGAACGGCCAAGUGAUACUGCAGUGCUAGAGUGUAGAAGGGGCAAUCGGAAUUCUUGGUGUAGCGGUGAAAUGCGUAGAUAUCAAGAGGAACACCUGAGGUGAAGACGGGUUGCUGGUCUAACACUGACGCUGAUGCGCGAAAGCCAGGGGAGCAAA
rnacentral:rRNA from 1 species